CUCCGCCCCCCUCCGCCGCCUCCCCUCCCCCUCGCCCGCCUCCGCCUCCGCCUCCUGCUGCUCGGCCGCCGCCGCCGCCGCCGCCUGCAGCGCUCGCUCCACUGCCGCUCCCACCCAGGCUCCGCGCUCCGCUCCAGCCAAACUUCUGCAGACCAUGUGCAGCCGAGGCGAGGAAACUUCUCUCCGCGCGUCGGGGCCGGAGGCUUGAGUCACAGCCCCGUGUUUCCAUGCAGGGUUUAGAGGCCUGUGCCAGUCACGCAGGGCGGGCUUCCCUGCCUGCACCAGAGACAAGCUAACAAUGAUCACCAAACAGACCGGCGGGGAAAACAGAAAAGAAAGGAAUGCUAAAGCUCUGCUGAGUAUUCUAUAAAAACACGUCCAAAUCGUUACUAAAUACUUCAACUUCCCUUGAAAUGAAAACUAUGCAGUCCUUUCUCAGAUAAGUAGUACUAACCUACCUGAAAGGCAGAGAGCAUUGGAGAAGGCGAAUUUCUCUAGGAUGGCGUCAUCCACAUCUAGCUCUGAAUUCAACCGGAUUUCUCCUCGGUGCAGUUUCGACUGCCCCCUGUGUAAAGGGAACAACGUGUAGCUUGUCAGUCUUAAAAAGCACUUAAUUUUUUUCUUUUGAAAAAGUCACCUUAGAAUCUUUCUAGAGGUCAUUUUGGUCAUUUGUAUCAAGAGUCUUAUAAAUGUUCUUAUACCCUUUGA